rnacentral:rRNA from 1 species
AAGACCUUGCACUUUUGGAGCGGCCGAUGUCUGAUUAGCUAGUUGGUGGGGUAAUGGCCUACCAAAGCUUCGAUCAGUAGCUGGUCUGAGAGGACGGCCAGCCACACUGGGACUGAGACACGGCCCAGACUCCUACGGGAGGCAGCAGUGGGGAAUUUUGGACAAUGGGCGCAAGCCUGAUCCAGCCACGCCGCGUGAGUGAAGAAGGCCUUCGGGUUGUAAAGCUCUUUCAGCCGGGAAGAAAAGGUUGCGACUAAUAAUCGCAAUUCAUGACGGUACCGAAAGAAGAAGCACCGGCUAACUACGUGCCAGCAGCCGCGGUAAUACGUAGGGUGCGAGCGUUAAUCGGAAUUACUGGGCGUAAAGGGUGCGCAGGCGGUUUUGUAAGUCAGAUGUGAAAUCCCCGGGCUUAACCUGGGAACU